AGUGAACGCUGGCGGUAGGCCUAACACAUGCAAGUCGAACGGCAGCACAGUAAGAGCUUGCUCUUACGGGUGGCGAGUGGCGGACGGGUGAGGAAUACAUCGGAAUCUACUUUUUCGUGGGGGAUAACGUAGGGAAACUUACGCUAAUACCGCAUACGACCUACGGGUGAAAGCAGGGGAUCUUCGGACCUUGCGCGAUUGAAUGAGCCGAUGUCGGAUUAGCUAGUUGGCGGGGUAAAGGCCCACCAAGGCGACGAUCCGUAGCUGGUCUGAGAGGAUGAUCAGCCACACUGGAACUGAGACACGGUCCAGACUCCUACGGGAGGCAGCAGUGGGGAAUAUUGGACAAUGGGCGCAAGCCUGAUCCAGCCAUACCGCGUGUGUGAAGAAGGCCUUCGGGUUGUAAAGCACUUUUGUUGGGAAAGAAAAGCAGCAGGUUAAUACCCCGCUGUUCUGACGGUACCCAAAGAAUAAGCACCGGCUAACUUCGUG
rnacentral:rRNA from 1 species